GACGAACGCUGGCGGCGUGCUUAACACAUGCAAGUCGAACGGAAAGGCCCUGCUUUUGUGGGGUGCUCGAGUGGCGAACGGGUGAGUAACACGUGAGUAACCUGCCCUUGACUUUGGGAUAACUUCAGGAAACUGGGGCUAAUACCGGAUAGGAGCUCCUGCUGCAUGGUGGGGGUUGGAAAGUUUCGGCGGUUGGGGCUGGACUCGCGGCUUAUCAGCUUGUUGGUGGGGUAGUGGCUUACCAAGGCUUUGACGGGUAGCCGGCCUGAGAGGGUGACCGGCCACAUUGGGACUGAGAUACGGCCCAGACUCCUACGGGAGGCAGCAGUGGGGAAUAUUGCACAAUGGGCGGAAGCCUGAUGCAGCAGCGCCGCGUGCGUGAUGACGGCCUUCGGGUUGUAAACCGCUUUCGCCUGUGACGAAGCGUGAGUGACGGUAAUGGGUAAAGAAGCACCGGCUAACUACGUG
rnacentral:rRNA from 1 species